AAGCGCCAGAGAAGAUUGGCAAGAAGGCUCUGAAGCUCUGAAGCAAGAACUCUGGAAUCGCCAUUUGGCUGGAUCGGGUCGAGACGAGUCCCAAGGGGUCUACCGGAAAGGGCGUGACUUCGCCACUCUAUGGAGAGGCGAGCGGGCAGAGAGGAAGCGCAGUGUCCUGUCAUGUGGCAAGCGAAACUGUGGCGUCCGUGCUUGUCGAACGCAUGCGCACACAACUGGAAACCGUUGGGAUAGAUGAGAAUCACAAUAAAAUGUGACACUGAAUUUGAAA